CUGGUUUCUGCCUUUUAGGCAGCUGCCAUGCCAUUUGUGCAUGUAUUAGGCUGUUAAACAUCUGUUAAUUUCUGUUGUAUUUGGAAGAUGGUGCCUGAUGGUGUUGGCUCUUUUCUGUUACAUUCAUUAGAGGUGAAAAGAUUACAGAUAAGCUGAGUGCUUCAUAUAACUGGGUUAAGCUUCUUCACCAAGAAUGGCCUCCAAUGCUGGUGCAUCGGAUUCUUCGGUCAGUAAGUAAAUUCAUAUUUUAAGUUCUCCUCUUGGAGGUCCUCAAGUGUAUGUUUUCUUUAAAGCUUUUUCUCUUUUGAAUUUGAAAAUCAACAGCAAUAGUAACUAGUUUUU
rnacentral:misc_RNA from 1 species